GCCAACCUAUCUAUCGCUGCCAACCUAUCUAUCGCUGCCAAUUUAUCUACCACUGCCAAUCUAUCUAUUGCUGCUAAUCUAUCGCUGCUGUCAAUCUAUCUAUCGCUGCUAAUCUAUCGCCGCUGCCAAUCUAUCCCUCACUGCUAAGCUAUCCCUCGCUGCUAAGCUAUCACUGCCAAUCUAUCGCUGCUAAUCUAUCGCUGCCAACCUAUCUACCGCGGCGAAUCUAUCUAUCGCUGCCAAUUUAUCUACCACUGCCAAUCUAUCUAUCGCUGCCAAUCUAUUGCUGCUAAUCUAUCGCUGCUAAUCUAUCGCUGCCAAUCUAUCUAUCACUGCCAAUCUAUCUAUCGCUUCUAAUCUAUCGCUGCUAAUCUAUCUCUGCCAACCUAUCCAUCGCUGCCAAUUUAUCUACCACUGCCAAUCUAUCUAUCGCUGCUAAUCUAUCGCUGCUAAUCUAUCGCUGCCAACCUAUCCAUCGCUGCCAAUUUAUCUACCACUGCCAAUCUAUCUAUCGCUGCUAAUCUAUCGCUGCUAAUCUAUUGCUGCUGCCAAUCUAUCUAUCACUGCUAAUCUAUUGCUGCUAAUCUAUUACUGCUAAUCUAUCGCUGCUAAUCUAUCGCUGCUAAUCUAUCGCUGCUAAUCUAUCGCUGCCAACCUAUCUAUCGCUGCCAAUCUAUCGCUGCCAAUCUAUCGCUGCCAACCUAUCUACUGCAGUGAAUCUAUCUAUCACUAUCAUUACUAGUUCAAAAUAGAACUAGAGCAUAAAUACACUAAACUUCUUUUGAUAGGUAAUGAUUUUUGGUAACACUCAUAGCAUUAUAUCAUCUAUAUAGGGUAAAUCAUGGUCCCAUUUGGUCCCAUUUUAACAAAAUGGGACCAAAUGGGACCAGAAUCAGUAAUUUAUAAGAAGAACAUGACCUGAGACUAGAUUUAUAAUAUAAACAGUGUAAAGUGACUAAUUUAAUAAACACUAUAUGGAACC
rnacentral:sRNA from 1 species